rnacentral:rRNA from 1 species
GAUGAACGCUAGCGGUAGGCUUAACACAUGCAAGUCGAGGGGCAGCACGAGUAGCAAUACUUGGUGGCGACCGGCGGACGGGUGAGUAACGCGUAUGCAACCUACCUAUAACUGGAGAAUAACCCCCGGAAACGGGGACUAAUGUUCCAUAAUGUUCGAAAUUCGCAUGAAUUUCGAACUAAAGCUCCGGCGGUUAUAGAUGGGCAUGCGUGACAUUAGCUAGUUGGUGAGGUAACGGCUCACCAAGGCUACGAUGUCUAGGGGGUCUUAAAGGAUGAUCCCCCACACUGGUACUGAGACACGGACCAGACUCCUACGGGAGGCAGCAGUGAGGAAUAUUGGUCAAUGGGCGCAAGCCUGAACCAGCCAAGCCGCGUGAAGGAUGACGGCCCUAUGGGUUGUAAACUUCUUUUAUACGGGAAGAAACCUCCGACUUGUCGGAGACUGACGGUACCGUACGAAUAAGCAUCGGCUAACUCCGUGCCAGCAGCCGCGGUAAUACGGAGGAUGCAAGCGUUAUCCGGAUUUAUUAGGUAUAAAGGGUGCGUAGGCGGACCUGUUAGUCAGUGGUGAAAUACUAUGGCUUAACUAUAGAACUGCCAUUGAUACUGCAGGUCUUGAGUACAAUUGAGGUAGGCGGAAUGUGUGGUGUAGCGGUGAAAUGCUUAGAUAUCACACAGAACACCGAUUGCGAAGGCAGCUUACUAAACUGUAACUGACGCUGAUGCACGAAAGCAUGGGGAGCAAACAGGAUUAGAUACCCUGGUAGUCCAUGCCGUAAACGAUGAUCACUCGCUGUAUGUCCAUUAGGAUAUGUGGCUGAGCUAACGCAUUAAGUGAUCCACCUGGGGAGUACGGCGGCAACGCUGAAACUCAAAGGAAUUGACGGGGGCCCGCACAAGCGGAGGAACAUGUGGUUUAAUUCGAUGAUACGCGAGGAACCUUACCUGGGUUUAAAUGUAGGACGAAAGUCACGUGAAAGCGAGACCUUCCUUCGGGACGGACUACAAGGUGCUGCAUGGUUGUCGUCAGCUCGUGCCGUGAGGUGUCGGGUUAAGUCCCAUAACGAGCGCAACCCUCAUCGUUAGUUACCAGCGGGUAAUGCCGGGGACUCUAACGAGACUGCCACCGUAAGGUGAGAGGAAGGUGGGGAUGACGUCAAAUCAGCACGGCCCUUAUAUCCAGGGCUACACACGUGUUACAAUGGCCAGUACAAAGGGCAGCUACUUGGUGACAAGAUGCUAAUCUCAAAAACUGGUCUCAGUUCGGAUCGAAGUCUGCAACUCGACUUCGUGAAGUUGGAUUCGCUAGUAAUCGCGCAUCAGCAAUGGCGCGGUGAAUACGUUCCCGGGCCUUGUACACACCGCCCGUCAAGCCAUGGAAGCCGGGAGUACCUAAAGUCUGUAACCGAAAGGAGCGGCCUAGGGUAAAACUGGUGACUGGGGCU